rnacentral:rRNA from 1 species
CCGUCAGCCUUCGGGUGAAGCGGUGAAUUCAAGCCCCGGUAAACGGCGGUGGUAACUAUAACCAUCCUAAGGUAGCGAAAUUCCUUGUCGGGUAAGUUCCGACCUGCACGAAUGGCGUAACGACUUCCCCACUGUCUCGACCAGGAGCUCGGCGAAAUUGCAGUACGAGUAAAGAUGCUCGUUAAGCGCAGAAGGACGAAAAGACCCCGGGACCUUUACUAUACCUUGGUAUUGGCAUUCGGUGUGGAUUGUGUAGCAUAGGCGGGAGGCCGAGAGGCGCGGUCGCCAGAUCGCGCGGAGCCGUAAGGUGAAAUACCGCUCUGUUCGCAUUGGAUGUCUAACCUCGAACAGUCAUCCUGUUCAGGGACAGUGCCUGGCGGGUAGUUUAACUGGGGCGGUUGCCUCCCAAAGAGUAACGGAGGCGCCCAAAGGUCCGCUCAGCCCGGUUGGCAAUCGGGUGGCGAGUGCAAGUGCACAAGCGGGCUUGACUGCGAGGACGACGGUCCGAGCAGGGACGAAAGUCGGGACUAGUGAUCCGGUGCCGGUGUACGGACGCGGCAUCGCUCAACGGAUAAAAGGUACUCCGGGGAUAACAGGCUGAUCAUUCCCAAGAGUCCAUAUCGACGGGAUGGUUUGGCACCUCGAUGUCGGCUCGUCGCAUCCUGGGGCUGGAGCAGGUCCCAAGGGUUCGGCUGUUCGCCGAUUAAAGCGGCACGCGAGCUGGGUUCAGAACGUCGUGAGACAGUUUGGUCUCUAUCCUCUGCGCUCGUUGGAAUGCUGAGGAGGCCUGCCCAUAGUACGAGAGGACCUGGGUGGACGAACCUCUGGUAUGCCGGUUGUCACGCCAGUGGCACGGCCGGUUGGCUACGUUCGGAAGGGAUAACCGCUGAAAGCAUCUAAGCGGGAAGCCUGCUCCAAGAUAAGCAUUCCGUGGAACCUUCGAGUUCCUGUAGUCCCCAUGCAGAACACGUGGUCGAUAGGCCGGACGUGGAAGCCCCGCGAGGGGUGGAGCCGACCGGUACUAACGGACGAAAGGCAACACUAA